CCUACGGGAGGCAGCAGUGGGGAAUAUUGGACAAUGGGCGAAAGCCUGAUCCAGCAAUGCCGCGUGAGUGAUGAAGGCCUUCGGGUCGUAAAGCUCUUUUACCAGGGAUGAUAAUGACAGUACCUGGAGAAUAAGCUCCGGCUAACUCCGUGCCAGCAGCCGCGGUAAUACGGAGGGAGCUAGCGUUGUUCGGAAUUACUGGGCGUAAAGAGUACGUAGGCGGUUAUUCAAGUCAGAGGUGAAAGCCCGGGGCUCAACCCCGGAACUGCCUUUGAAACUAGAUAACUAGAGUCUCGGAGAGGUUAGUGGAAUUCCGAGUGUAGAGGUGAAAUUCGUAGAUAUUCGGAAGAACACCAGUGGCGAAGGCGACUAACUGGACAAGUACUGACGCUGAGGUACGAAAGCGUGGGGAGCAAACAGGAUUAGAUACCCUGGUAGUCCACGCCGUAAACGAUGAUAACUAGUUGUUCGGUCACUUGGUGACUGAGUGACGCAGCUAACGCAUUAAGUUAUCCGCCUGGGGAGUACGGUCGCAAGNUUAAAACUCAAAGGAAUUGACGGCUGAGACGNGCGAGACGACACGAGGAGAG
rnacentral:rRNA from 1 species